rnacentral:tRNA from 1 species
AUUAUAUUGGCAGAAUAAUGCAUUAGAAUUAGAAUCUAAUUAUCUAUCCAUUA